rnacentral:rRNA from 1 species
GACGAACGCUGGCGGCGUGCCUAAUACAUGCAAGUAGAACGCUGAAGAAAGGAGCUUGCUUCUUUUGGAUGAGUUGCGAACGGGUGAGUAACGCGUAGGUAACCUGCCUUGUAGCGGGGGAUAACUAUUGGAAACGAUAGCUAAUACCGCAUAACAGCUUUUGACACAUGUUAGAAGCUUGAAAGAUGCAAUUGCAUCACUACGAGAUGGACCUGCGUUGUAUUAGCUAGUAGGUAGGGUAACGGCCUACCUAGGCGACGAUACAUAGCCGACCUGAGAGGGUGAUCGGCCACACUGGGACUGAGACACGGCCCAGACUCCUACGGGAGGCAGCAGUAGGGAAUUUUCGGCAAUGGGGGCAACCCUGACCGAGCAACGCCGCGUGAGUGAAGAAGGUUUUCGGAUCGUAAAGCUCUGUUGUAAGAGAAGAACGUGUGUGAGAGUGGAAAGUUCACACAGUGACGGUAACUUACCAG